rnacentral:rRNA from 1 species
AAGAGACAGCAGUAGCCGCGGUAAUACGAAGGGGGCUAGCGUUGCUCGGAAUCACUGGGCGUAAAGGGCGCGUAGGCGGCCGAUUGAGUCGGGGAUGAAAGCCUGUGGCUCAACCACAGAAUUGCCUUCGAUACUGGUUGGCUUGAGACCGGAAGAGGACAGCGGAACUGCGAGUGUAGAGGUGAAAUUCGUAGAUAUUCGCAAGAACACCAGUGGCGAAGGCGGCUGUCUGGUCCGGUUCUGACGCUGAGGCGCGAAAGCGUGGGGAGCAAACAGGAUUAGAUACCCGCGUAGUCCCUGUCUCUUAUAC